rnacentral:rRNA from 1 species
AGUGAACGCUGGCGGCAGGCCUAAUACAUGCAAGUCGAACGGCAGCACAGCUUAAGCUUGCUUAAGUGGGUGGCGAGUGGCGGACGGGUGAGGAAUACGUGGGAAUCUGCCCAGUCGUGGGGGAUAACGUAGGGAAACUUACGCUAAUACCGCAUGCGCCCUUUGGGGGAAAGCCGGGGAUCUUCGGACCUGGCGCGAUUGGAUGAGCCCACGUCGGAUUAGCUAGUGGGAGGGGUAAAGGCCCACCAAGGCGACGAUCCGUAGCUGGUCUGAGAGGAUGAUCAGCCACACUGGAACUGAGACAUGGUCCAGACUCCUACGGGAGGCAGCAGUGGGGAAUAUUGGACAAUGGGCGCAAGCCUGAUCCAGCCAUACCGCGUGGGUGAAGAAGGCCUUCGGGUUGUAAAGCCCUUUUGUUGGGAAAGAAAUCCAGCUGGCUAAUACCCGGUUGGGAUGACGGUACCCAAAGAAUAAGCACCGGCUAACUUCGUGCCAGCAGCCGCCGUAA